rnacentral:lncRNA from 1 species
CUAGUCCUUCAAUGUGUCGCAGAACAUUAAACGAGAUGUCCAGGACCUCAAGAUCCACGAGAGCCUCCAAGUUCUCGAUCUUCCGAAUCUGAUUGUCAUAGAGAUCCAGCUCCCGCAAGGUCUGCAAUUGCUCCAGGUUCUCAAUGCGCUUCACCAAGUUCUGACGCAGACACAGAGUCUUCACUUUCUUGAGCACCUCAAACCCUUCAAUCUUUCCAAUUCGGAAAUGAUUCAGGUCAACAUCCUCAGCUUCUGGGUCCAGGCUAAUUGUUUCCAUGUCCACUGGUGUCUCUGCUUCUCCUGGGGAGCUCUCACCAUUCUGCUCAUCUCUCAGGCUCUGCUGGCUGAGGUCUGUUACUAAGCGCACCGCUUGCUUCUUCCCUUCAUCUUCCGACUCCUCCGAUUCGAUCCGCUUAUCGACCUCCAUCAUCUCCGUGCGCCCCUCUCCGCUCCCCGCCGCCAUAUUGCUUCUCCUCCCACCCCCC